rnacentral:rRNA from 1 species
UGGGGAAUAUUGGACAAUGGGCGCAAGCCUGAUCCAGCCAUACCGCGUGUGUGAAGAAGGCCCUAGGGUUGUAAAGCACUUUAAGUUGGGAAGAAAAGUUAUUGGUUAAUACCCAAUAACCGUGACAUUACCAUCAGAAUAAGGACCGGCUAAUUCCGUGCCAGCAGCCGCGGUAAUACGGAAGGUCCAAGCGUUAAUCGGAAUUACUGGGCGUAAAGCGCGCGUAGGUGGUUUAUUAAGUUGGAUGUGAAAUCCCCGGGCUCAACCUGGGAACUGCAUCCAAAACUGAUUCACUAGAGUACGAUAGAGGGAGGUAGAAUUCACAGUGUAGCGGUGGAAUGCGUAGAUAUUGUGAAGAAUACCAAUGGCGAAGGCAGCCUCCUGGAUCUGUACUGACACUGAGGUGCGAAAGCGUGGGUAGCGAACAGG